rnacentral:rRNA from 1 species
GUGAGGAAUAUUGGUCAAUGGGCGGGAGCCCGAACCAGCCAAGUCGCGUGAAGGAAGAAGGAUCUAUGGUUCGUAAACUUCUUUUGCAGGGGAAUAAAGUGCAGGACGUGUCCUGUUUUGUAUGUACCCUGAGAAUAAGGAUCGGCUAACUCCGUGCCAGCAGCCGCGGUAAUAAGGAGGAUCCGAGCGUUAUCCGGAUUUAUUGGGUUUAAAGGGUGCGUAGGUGGUUUGAUAAGUCAGCGGUGAAAGUUUGCAGCUUAACUGUAAAAAUGCCGUUGAAACUGUCGGACUUGAGUGUAAAUGAGGUAGGCGGAAUGCGUGGUGUAGCGGUGAAAUGCAUAGAUAUCACGCAGAACUCCGAUUGCGAAGGCAGCUUACUAAGCUACAACUGACACUGAAGCACGAAAGCGUGGGGAUCAAACAGGAUUAGAAACCCUUGUAGUCC